CUCCAGUUGAUCGCAUGGUCUUCUGGGAAAGCUUUCGCGGUAUGGGAUGGGGUCGCGUCCUAUCAGCUUGACGGCGGGGUAACGGCCCACCGUGGCUUCGACGGGUAGCCGGCCUGAGAGGGCGACCGGCCACAUUGGGACUGAGAUACGGCCCAGACUCCUACGGGAGGCAGCAGUGGGGAAUAUUGCACAAUGGGCGCAAGCCUGAUGCAGCGACGCCGCGUGAGGGAUGGAGGCCUUCGGGUUGUAAACCUCUUUUAUCGGGGAGCAAGCGAGAGUGAGUUUACCCGUUGAAUAAGCACCGGCUAACUACGUGCCAGCAGCCGCGGUAAUACGUAGGGUGCAAGCGUUAUCCGGAAUUAUUGGGCGUAAAGGGCUCGUAGGCGGUUCGUCGCGUCCGGUGUGAAAGUCCAU
rnacentral:rRNA from 1 species